AGAAUUCCAACAGCUGUUGCAGUUUCUUUCACCCCUGUGUAAGAAACUACCAGCAGGAACGCCGCCUUCCACAUGAGAGCUAUUCAAGAGUGUUGGCCUCAGGCACUGUUCCCAUUAGGGGACCCAAGCCCAGAAGGGACCCUGCAGGCCUCAGCUACCCAUCCUGGAAUACUGAAUGUUGUUCAAGAGUAUAUCAAGAACAUAAUGGCUUGAGAAUUCAACUGGUUUGAUCUACAUUUUCAUCUAAUUACAAAACUGAAUUACAGUAAGCCAGCAAUGUUUUUGUAGUGCUAAAAUUUAAGGUAUCAAAAUACAUAAUUCAUGUUAAGCUUUUUUAAAGUCCUCUGAGAAUCACAUACUGGCCCAUUAUAUAGAAGGUUUGCGACACUUCACUUUAGCGUGUGUGUGUGAAGAAGUUAACUGAAAUAACUCCACUUAGUGUUUGAGAGGGAGAGAGCAAUGUAAUGAAAUCUGUUUGCUGUGCUAGCUGUCUCCAGAUUGGGCUGUAAUUACACCACAGAAGGAAGAAAGGUAGCUGAGUCUCAAUCUGGAUCAUUUAUGUAAACUCAGCCUUCUUGUCAACGAUGUUCUCAGAUUGCAAGCAUGCAAACCACAAAAAUCAUCUCCUAUGAACAAAAUAGAGACAGUGUCAGAUUGCAGGCUUCUGAUAUACCUUGUAUUCUCUCUGUAAUUGGACUUUAACAUCUGACACAGUAAGGUUAAAAAACUUCUCAUGUAAUAUACAUCUAUUCAGGGAAUGAAAUCCUGUACAGAAAGGGGGUAGGGGGAGGGAGAAGAACGAUCCUUUACUUCUUUAUGGCAUAGAAUUGACACAGAGUUGUAUGAAGAAGCAUUUAUUUGGCGUGAAUUAAAACAAAAUGUUCAGGAAAUCAAGGAAAAUGUAGUACCUGCGUUUGCCGAAAUAAGUGGCAUCUUAUACAGAAGGCAAAUAUGUUACCCUGGAAGUUUAAAACCCCACCCACUGAACCAAAUUGAAGACUAUACAAACAGCACAUUCAAAAUUAUUCUUUUCUGCAGAAUGACAUAAAUAUUACAAAGCUCUUACCAUACCUGAUGCGCGCUCUCAGCAACUCUUUCAAACACACAAUGCAUUAGGCAAAGGGUAAUUUUAUAUGUAAAUACAUAACGAAACAGUGUGAGGAGACAUAGCGGCAUGUAGUCAGAUAAAAGAUUCCCUCCUUUCCCCUGCUAAUUCAUCGAGCUGCCCUUCAUGUUGAUAAAUUGGUACAUUAAUUCUGGUUUUAAACAGCCCUCUCUCUGGCAGAUUUAGAAAGCAUUUCUCCCGACACCUGCAGCUUCAGGGCCCCCCUCUGUCUUCUCUAGUGCAGGAAAACCACAGGCCACCACACUGGCGCCAUCCCUGGCUAUGUCCAAUCAAUAAGGACUUAUUUCCUGUCCAUUUGCUGAGGUCACAGAAGCGAGUCUCAUUAAUUAUUGCUACCAGUGCAGCCUCAAGUGUGCUUCUGGCAUGACAAGUGAAAACUGUUUGACCUUUUUUCCCUAAUUUUGUUUGUAGCAGUUCCGAAGGGUAUAUGUUAGUUUGGGAAUGUGGUGAGUGGAACAGAAACACAUUUUUUAAAGCCACUGACAUAUUUAGAUGCGGAGCAA